rnacentral:rRNA from 1 species
AAUCAACGCUGGCGGCGUGCCUCAGACAUGCAAGUCGAACGAUUAAAGCUCCCUUCGGGGAGUGCAUAGAGUGGCGCACGGGUGAGUAACACGUAAGUAAUCUACCUUUGAGUGGGGAAUAACGUUCGGAAACGGACGCUAAUACCGCAUAAUGCAGCGGCAUCGCAAGAUGACAGUUGUUAAAGGAGCAAUCCGCUUAAAGAGGAGCUUGCGGCAGAUUAGCUUGUUGGUAAGGUAACGGCUUACCAAGGCUACGAUCUGUAUCCGGUCUAAGAGGACGGUCGGACACACUGACACUGAAUAACGGGUCAGACUCCUACGGGAGGCAGCAGUCGGGAAUUUGGGCAAUGGGCGAAAGCCUGACCCAGCAACGCCGCGUGAAGGAUGAAGUAUUUCGGUAUGUAAAACUUCGAAAGAAUAGGAAGAAUAAAUGACGGUACUAUUUAUAAGCUCCGGCUAAUACGUGCCAGCAGCCGCAGUAAC